UUGCGAUGAUGACAGCUUAGGACACCUUUGGAUUACCCAUGAAAAGAAAUUCAAAACUGAGCAAC